UCACAUAGAGCAGUGAAGAAUGUAGUAGAAGCACAAAAAUGACCAAUUAAUAACAAGUCAAUAACGUGGAGCAGGCUGCACACUGCUGAAACGUGAGACGCUUCCAGUGGACUUUGACGCCGACCUAUGGACGCAUCAAAACUGCGGUGUAGCCGUAACGUGCCUUAGCCGGAGUCACUCAACAUUGCUUGCAUUUUGAUUGGGCACGAGAGAAGAAAGAGAGACAAAAGCAGGACAUGUCACUGACUACUGAAAUGUCCCUGUCACCCCUGGCAAAACUGCAGGCGUGAACAGAGCGUUGCUGGAGUCAAACCCUACUGUGGCUGCAAACAUUACACCCCCAGUUUCUCACCCCCUGUUUGGCAGCUGCAUGCUGUUCUUUUGCUGUUUUACGAUAGCAGCCCUUGUUUCCUGAAGAAACACUUUAUGCAUGCAUCUAAAUAAAAACAAAGCAUUGCACAUACUGUACAUUGUUUUAGUUUAAUGAUCAUUGUGUUAUUUCUACAGAGGAUGAUUAAAAUAAAACCUUAGCAUUUGC